UACGUAGGGGGGCAAGCGUUGUCCGGAAUCAUUGGGCGUAAAGAGCGUGUAGGCGGCCCGAUAAGUCCGCUGUGAAAAGUCCAGGGCUCAACCCUGGGAUGCCGGUGGAUACUGUCGGGCUCGAGUCCGGAAGAGGAGUGUGGAAUUCCUGGUGUAGCGGUGAAAUGCGCAGAUAUCAGGAGGAACACCAAUGGCGAAGGCAGCACUCUGGGACGUGACUGACGCUGAGACGCGAAAAGCGUGGGGGAGCAAACAGG
rnacentral:rRNA from 1 species